rnacentral:piRNA from 1 species
CCUGUCUCUUUCACAGGAGCCACAGUUGGAU